GCAAAUUUUUUUUGUUUUUGUUUUUGUUUUUGUUUUUGUUGAGUGAAAGAUUGAGAGGUUGAUGAGUUGAAUUGUUGAAUAUAGAAUGGAUGACAAAUCGCUCCCUUAUAAUCUUCGACUACGAAAGGCUUCUGCUACAACUGAACCUUCCAAGAUCAACCAGAAGCAUGAAAGAGAUUUUCAGAUCUAUUUGAAAACACUUAUAUGCUGACAAAAUUUUCAAAGAUUGGCGUUUUUUAUUCCUAUUCAACAACAAAUAUACGAAUAGUUCCUCUCAAGAAGAAAAUAAGAGAUUUCCAACUACUGACUCUAAUAAGACGCAGAAAGAAGGUCAACCUCACUCCAGGGCCUUAGCACCUAGUAUAACGGCCACAGUGCAACAACAAGAACCAGUUUGACUUAGGGGUGGUGAUUUAGUGACAGUGGACGGCUCCCAUUAGACAGAUCAAUGAUACCAGGCAUGGGAUACACGGGCAGGAGAGCUUAUUUGACCGGACAGACUAGAUGAGCGAGAUCGAUUUAAAGCGAAAGUUGACAUGUGAGGGAAAAUAGGAGUCUGUGGUGGCAUGACUUACCACGUUAGCGUCCAGGAUGAAUGCUUUUUUCGUUCAUCUCGCGUGAUCGAUGGAUGGGGGAAUUGCGUGAAUGACGAGACCGGUUUAACCUAAGCGCAAGUGUACACCUGUCACAAGUAGUAAAACGGAACGAGUAUUUCGAGUAUCGAUCCUCAGGGACAAAUUAAGUUUUUUAAUGAAAAUGAUGUUGAUCGGUGACUUUGUAAUUGAUUUUGGGGUAACAAAUGAUAAGGAUAAUGCUGGUUUUGAUAUUUAAAGACUUAAUGCA